rnacentral:rRNA from 1 species
UACCAGCUCCCUGAGUGGUAGGGAUGAUUAUUUGGCCUAAAGCGUCCGUAGCCGGCUUGGUAAGUCCUUCGUCAAAUCCAACGACUCAAUCGUUGGUCCGCGGAGAAUACUGCCAGGCUAGAGGACGGGAGAGGUUGACGGUAGUCCCAGGGUAGGGGUGAAAUCCAAUAAUCCUGGGAGGACCACCAGUGGCGAAGGCGGUCAACAAGAACGUGCCUGACGGUGAUGGACGAAAGCUGGGGGAGCGAACCGGAUUAGACACCCGGGUAGUCCCAGCCGUAAACGAUGCGGGCUAGGUGUUAGGGCAGCUACGAGCUGCUCUAGUGCCGCAGAGAAGUCGUUAAGCCCGCCGCCUGGGGAGUACGAUCGCAAGAUUGAAACUUAAAGGAAUUGGCGGGGGAGCACCACAAGGGGUGAAGCCUGCGGUUC